AGGUUUGCACAGUGGCAGUAUCGUAGCCAGUGACAUUGAUCUGAGGCGUGAUUAUUGCUAAUUGAAAACUUUUCCCAAUACCCCACCAUGACAACCUGCAAUAAUACUUGAUAAGGGCUUUUCUAUUGUGGUUGGAGCUGGUUAUCUGGUGAACUCUCCUUCCAGU
rnacentral:snRNA from 1 species